GACGGAGGAUGCAAGUGUUAUCCGGAAUCACUGGGCGUAAAGCGUCUGUAGGUGGUUUAAUAAGUCAACUGUUAAAUCUUGAGGCUCAACCUCAAAAUCGCAGUCGAAACUAUUAGGCUAGAGUAUAGUAGGGGUAAAGGGAAUUUCCAGUGGAGCGGUGAAAUACGUAGAGAUUGGAAAGAACACCGAUGGCGAAGGCACUUUACUGGGCUAUUACUAACACUCAGAGACGAAAGCUAGGGUAGCAAAUGGG
rnacentral:rRNA from 1 species